UAAAAAUUUCAGAAAGACAAAUCAAUUCUAAUUACAGAUGAGGAGAGAGCUUGGCUACCUUCACACAAAGCAGAGCUCCCUGAUAUUUGCAGUGGGAAAGAAGGUAACCCCAGUUGCUAGGUCCUGGGAUUUCAACAUACAGCUCAUAGCA